GACGAACGCUGGCGGCGUGCUUAACACAUGCAAGUCGAACGAUGAAAGCGGGAGCUUGCUCCUGCUGGAUUAGUGGCGAACGGGUGAGUAACACGUGAGCAAUCUGCCCCGAACUCUGGGAUAAGCGUUGGAAACGACGUCUAAUACCGGAUACGACGCGCGAAGGCAUCUUCUGCGCGUGGAAAGAAUUUCGGUUCGGGAUGAGCUCGCGGCCUAUCAGCUAGUUGGUGAGGUAAUGGCUCACCAAGGCGACGACGGGUAGCCGGCCUGAGAGGGUGACCGGCCACACUGGGACUGAGACACGGCCCAGACUCCUACGGGAGGCAGCAGUGGGGAAUAUUGCACAAUGGGCGCAAGCCUGAUGCAGCAACGCCGCGUGAGGGACGACGGCCUCGG
rnacentral:rRNA from 1 species